rnacentral:rRNA from 1 species
AGUGAACGCUGGCGGUAGGCCUAACACAUGCCAGUCGAACGGCAGCACAGUAAGAGCUUGCUCUUACGGGUGGCGAGUGGCGGACGGGUGAGGAAUACAUCGGAAUCUACUUUUUCGUGGGGGAUAACGUAGGGAAACUUACGCUAAUACCGCAUACGACCUACGGGUUAAAGCAGGGGAUCUUCGGACCUUGCGCGAUUGAAUGAGCCGAUGUCGGAUUAGCUAGUUGGCGGGGUAAAGGCCCACCAAGGCGACGAUCCGUAGCAGGUCUGAGAGGAUGAUCAGCCACACUGGAACUGAGACACGGUCCAGACUCCUACGGGAGGCAGCAGUGGGGAAUAUUGGACAAUGGGCGCAAGCCUGAUCCAGCCAUACCGCGUGAGUGAAGAAGGCCUUCGGGUUGUAAAGCCCUUUUGUUGGGAAAGAACAGCAGCAGGUUAAUACCCCGCUGUUCUGACGGUACCUAAAGAAUAAGCACCGGCUAACUUCGUG